CGCUGGCGGCGUGCUUAAUACAUGCAAGUCAACUUGACUUUAGAUAGCAAUAUCGAAAGUAGGGUGGCGCACGGGUGCGUAACGCGUAGGUAAUCUGCCCUGAGGUCUGACAUAACCCGUCGAAAGGCGGGCUAACAUCAGAUGAUAUAUAAUCACGACAUCGUGGAAAUAUCAAAUCUUCGGAGCCUUGGGAUGAGCCUGCGUCUGAUUAGGUAGUUGGCGGAGUAAUAGCCCACCAAGCCUACGAUCAGUAGCUGGUCUGAGAGGAUGAUCAGCCACACUGGAACUGAGACACGGUCCGGACUCCUACGGGAGGCAGCAGUAAGGAAUAUUGCUCAAUGGGGGAAACCCUGAAGCAGCAACGCCGCGUGAAGGAUGAAAUACUUUGUAUGUAAACUUCUGUAAGAUGGGAAAAAUAUUCUCCUCGGGAGAAUUGAUUGUACCAUCAGAGUAAGCCCCGGCUAACUACGUG
rnacentral:rRNA from 1 species